AAAAGCCUGUUUGGUUGUGUCUGUCUGUAGGAUCGGGAUUCUUACGAGUCUAGUUGUUUGAGAGUACAACUUAAAGCUGGUGGUAAAUUUCAUCAAAGGCUGAAUAUAUGAAGGGACUAAUAGCGAACAAGUACCAUGAGGGAAAGUUGAAAAGAACUCUGACGAGAGAGUUCAACAGUGCGUGAAACCAUAUUGAGUAAAACAGAUAACUGUGUCGUUCUGCGGUGUGUCUCUCAACAGUAGCUCGGGCAUUGCGAUGCGGUGAGUGUGAGCUGAUUCUUCAGACGAUCGCUCGCUGUCAGCAAAGCUCGAAAUUCUGUGUACUAGUGCACACCCAAUCAUUGAGAAACUAUGCUACUGCGACAUCGGUGCACAACAGCCCGCGCCUCGCGCGAAGUUGUAUACUGGGUUCUGCUGGUGGUGUAGUUUAGCUGUGUGACAGCUGUGGGAUGCGGUCACUGAAUGUGCCUGCCUUGUCUGCGAAUCGGUUUAUUCCCUUUUGCGGUGAGUAUGGUACAGUAGGUGAGCGUUCCGCCAUCAAUGGUUGACAUUAGUUAUUUGACCCGUCUUGAAACACGGACCAAGGAGUUCAAAUGGCACGCGAGUCAUUGGGUCUUAUCACCCAUAGGCGAAGUGAAAUGCAAACGUAUCGUUACUCGUAGAA
rnacentral:rRNA from 1 species